AGUUUGAUCCUGGCUCAGAUUGAACGCUGGCGGCAUGCUUUACACAUGCAAGUCGAACGGUAACAGGUCUUCGGAUGCUGACGAGUGGCGAACGGGUGAGUAAUACAUCGGAACGUGCCUAGUAUGGGGGAUAACUACUCGAAAGAGUAGCUAAUACCGCAUGAGAUCUACGGAUGAAAGCAGGGGACCUUCGGGCCUUGUGCUACUAGAGCGGCUGAUGGCAGAUUAGGUAGUUGGUGGGGUAAAGGCUUACCAAGCCUGCGAUCUGUAGCUGGUCUGAGAGGACGACCAGCCACACUGGGACUGAGACACGGCCCAGACUCCUACGGGAGGCAGCAGUGGGGAAUUUUGGACAAUGGGCGAAAGUCUGAUCCAGCAAUGCCGCGUGCAGGAUGAAGGCCCUCGGGUUGUAAACUGCUUUUGUACGGAACGAAAAGCCUGGGGCUAAUAUCCCCGGGUCAUGACGGUACCGUAAGAAUAAGCACCGGCUAACUACGUG
rnacentral:rRNA from 1 species